CUACGGGCCGCUGCAGUGAGGAAUAUUGGUCAAUGGCCGAGAGGCUGAACCAGCCAUCCCGCGUGCAGGAUGACGGCCCUAUGGGUUGUAAACUGCUUUUCUACGCCAAGGAAUCUGAUUACGUGUAAUUAGUUGACGGUAGCGUAGGAAUAAGCAUCGGCUAACUCCGUGCCAGCAGCCGCGGUAAUACGGAGGAUGCAAGCGUUAUCCGGAUUCAUUGGGUUUAAAGGGUGCGCAGGCGGGCUUGUAAGUCAGUGGUGAAAUACUGCCGCUUAACGGUAGAACUGCCAUUGAUACUGCAAGUCUUGAAUAUGGUUGAGGUAGGCGGAAUGUGUUGUGUAGCGGUGAAAUGCAUAGAUAUGACACAGAACGCCGAUUACGAAGGCAGCUUACUAAGCCAUUAUUGACGCUGAGGCACGAAAGCGUGGGGAGCGAACAGGAUUAGAUACCCGGGUAGUC
rnacentral:rRNA from 1 species